AUGGAUCAGACCACAGCCAUGCCCAUGGUAGGCACCUCAAAAGCUGAGCUUCUGCAAGCCGAUGCGGAGCUCUUUUGCCACACCUUUGCGUACCUCAAGUCGAUGGCAUUGAACAGUGUCGUGAAGCUUGGAAUCCCCGAUGUCCUCCACCGCUGCGGUGGCGCCGCCUCCUUGCCCGAGUUGCUCUCCUCCGUCCCCCUCCAUCCAAGCAAACGCCCCUACCUGGGUCGCCUCAUGAAGAUGCUGGCUGCGGCUGGGAUCUUCACGGCUGAGGAUAUUGCUGCCGGCGGCGAUGGGGCACCAACCACGGUUUACCACCUCAACACGGUUUCUCGUCUCCUGGUGGACGACGCCGGCGCCAACCGCAGCUCAUGCAUGUCGCCGUGCGUGCUCCUGGGCACCACCAACUUAUUUGUGUCGGCCUCCUUACGGCUGCACCAGUGGCUCCUGACCGAGGAGGGAGCCACGACGGAUUCGCCGUUCAUGAUGGCGCAUGGCGGGAGCUUGUAUGGCGUCGGUAGCCGUGACCCAGAAUUCAACGCGUUGUUUAAUGGGGCAAUGGGUGCCACCAGCGAGUUCGUCGCCGCCCUUGCUGUCCAUGAAUGCAGCGAAGUGUUCGCCGGGAUAACGUCGUUGGUCGACGUUGCUGGCGGGAACGGCACCACGGCGAGGACCAUAGCCGAGGCUUUCCCACGUGUGAAGUGCUCGGUGUUGGACCUCCCACAGGUGAUACAAGGAAUCUCGCCGGAUGGCACGGUUGAGCUUGUUGCUGGUGACAUGAUGGAGUUCGUGCCACCUGCUGAUGCUGUUUUGCUUAAGUACGUGCUGCAUAACUGGAGCGAUCAGGACUGCGUGAAGAUCCUCACGCGAUGUAGACAGGCCAUUUCCCACGGAGCCAAAGCUGGCAAGGUGAUAAUCAUUGAUACCGUCGUUGGAUCACCCUCACACCAAAUACUUGAAGGCCAGGUCACCAUGGAUUUGUCCAUGAUGAUGUUAUUUAAUGGUAAAGCAAGGGAGGAGCACAACUGGCACAAGAUGUUCAUGGAAGCCGGAUUUAGUCACUACAAAAUCCACAACGUCUUGGGAAUGCGGUCCCUCAUCGAAGUCCACCCGUAG
rnacentral:rRNA from 1 species